GACGAACGCUGGCGGCGUGCUUAACACAUGCAAGUCGAACGGAAAGGCCCUGCUUUUGUGGGGUGCUCGAGUGGCGAACGGGUGAGUAACACGUGAGUAACCUGCCCUUGACUUUGGGAUAACUUCAGGAAACUGGGGCUAAUACCGGAUAGGAGCUCCUGCUGCAUGGUGGGGGUUGGAACGUUUCGGCGGUUGGGGAUGGACUCGCGGCUUAUCAGCUUGUUGGUGGGGUAGUGGCUUACCCAGGCUUUGACGGGUAGCCGGCCUGAGAGGGUGACCGGCCACAUUGGGACUGAGGUACGGCCCAGACUCCUACGGGAGGCAGCAGUGGGGAAUAUUGCACAAUGGGCGGAAGCCGGAUGCAGCGACGCCGCGUGCGGGAUGACGGCCUUCGGGUUGUAAACCGCUUUCGCCUGUGACGAAGCGUGAGUGACGGUAAUGGGUAAAGAAGCACCGGCUAACUACGUG
rnacentral:rRNA from 1 species